GACGUAGGGUGCGAGCGUUGUCCGGAUUUAUUGGGCGUAAAGAGCUCGUAGGCGGCUCGUCGCGUCAGCUGUGAAAACCCGCGGCUUAACCGUGGGCUUGCAGCUGAUACGGGCGGGCUAGAGUUCGGUAGGGGAGACUGGAAUUCCUGGUGUAGCGGUGAAAUGCGCAGAUAUCAGGAGGAACACCGGUGGCGAAGGCGGGUCUCUGGGCCGAUACUGACGCUGAGGAGCGAAGCGUGGGGAGCGAACAGG
rnacentral:rRNA from 1 species